CUCAGCUGCGGUUCGUUAACUCGGUUCACGGUGAACAGUUGCAGGCUUACAAAAUUAGUGACAAUUCAGACAAUUCGACCGCCUCGUCGCGAUUUACAAAUUCAGCAGCAGGCAAGUGUUCGAGGACGAGCUUGGCGAGGUGGAUGCGAUGGAAGCAAUGCCUUUUACUGCUUUCUGUGUUUGCUAUUUCAAAGUCCUGGUACGGAGGCAUUCUGGACGACGACCGGGGUCUGUGGUAUCAUACUGGCAGGGAGUGCUUUUCCUUCACAAACCACCUUGUUAGUGCCACAUUCCUGCACAGGGACAGGUUUGAACAAUACAACACGCUCAGUGCCUCUUCAGGAAAUGCCAACCCCUUAAAAGCCUAUCCAGUGCUCAGUUAAGGUGGGAUGAAGACUGCGCUUGGUCUCAUCUACAGCAAAGAAGAGUUCAAAGCCUGUUGUGGUGCUGUGGGCCUACUCCAGCUGUUUAUGGAAAACAAUCUAGAAGUCUUUUCAGAGACUCUCACGCUCCUGAAGAUCACCACACCCAUGAGCACAGCAGAAGCUGAAAGGUGCUUUUCAACCCUGAAAAGAAUUAAGACUUUUCUGAGAAACUCCAUGACCCAGGACAAGCUGAAUGCAUUGGCCAUGUCAAUGGAGAAAACACUAGUCACAGAGAUGAAAUUUGCAGGCCAGAAGGAGGGCAAAAUUAAAUGUUUAAAUGGUGCUAUUUUUAAGAUUUUUGUUCAUUUUUAACUUCAGUUUGCGCCCCCCUCAAUUUCCUUUUUUCUUAGCACCAGCCGCCACUGGUCCUGACCACCUCUACAUGCCUAAAUGCGUUGUGUCCAUGUGAUUGGUUGAUUAGCCAUUUGUGUUAACAAGCAAUUAAAUGUGUACCUAAUAAAGUGGCUGGUGAGUAUAUCAGAAUGAGAGAAAAUUAGUAAUCAUUUUGACAAGUUUGCUUUUAGUUUUUGUAUUUUGGACAUCUGGAUUCUCAAUAUGUUGCUUGUGUAUCUUUAAUAUUUUAUUUGAAACAUCUGACACAAUAUUCACUGACUUUUUUUUUUGGCAAGCCUUAUACCAUCCUUGCUGAUAAAAGGAACA